rnacentral:rRNA from 1 species
GCUUACGGCCAUACCACCCUGAACACGCCCGAUCUAAGCAGGGUCGGGCCUGGUCAGUACUUGGAUGGGAGACCGCCUGGGAAUACCAGGUGCUGUAAGCU